UAGCUCAGUCAGUUGAGCGUAGCGCUAACAAUGCUAAGGUUGCGGGUUCGAUUCCCGU
rnacentral:tRNA from 1 species